UCCAGCGUUGUUUUAGUGAGGCUUGUUUAAUCUCUAUCCUAUGGGUCCUGCACACCAGCUUCUCGUUGUACGUGUACUUAAAGCUGUACACGCAGGCCUUAGUCAGGAUCAUUAGAAACCUAGUUGUUGGAAAACGAUUAGAUGAACUGCUUGAGAUGAGAGAAUGUUUAUCUAAAAUUCCAAACCAUAUAGCAUUCAUAGUACUAGAAUAUGAUAUCGAUUACAGUGCAAUGGCUAGUCUUGUUGUUUGGAGCUUAGGUAAACUAUUUUAUUUAGAUUUACUGUUACAAAA